CACACACACACACACACACUGCUCCCCUGUCUCUCCCCCUGCCCACCCCAGUUCAAGGGCUAUCAGAGUCAUCACAGUUCUUCUGUCAUCAUCUUCAUUCAUCAAAGAGAGAAGAGAGUUAAGAGCCCCCCUCUCAACCAAUGGCCUUUCCCCAUUCAACAUGUCUCCCACCCUCUUGGUUUUCUUCUGCCAAUUACCUCUCUGCUCAAGCCUCCUUAGGUUGAUCUCCACCAAUCAUGUCUCCCACCCUCUUGGUUUUCUUCUGCCAAUUACCUCUCUGCUCAAGCCUCCUUAGGUUGAUCUCCACCAAUCA
rnacentral:lncRNA from 13 species